rnacentral:misc_RNA from 1 species
GGAGAUCAAUGAGAUGGAUUCAAACUUUUUUGUGCAGAACCCUUCUCUGCUUUUUCAACUUAAGCAGGUUGAAUUUUUGAAGCUGGUUGGCUCUGGGGAUCAUACUCAGGCACUGAGGGUAGCCUGUUCUUUUCUGGGCCCUUUGGCUUCUAGUCAUCCUGAUCUGUUGAAGCCAUUGAAGGAGACUUUGCUAGCUUUGCUCAAACCUAAUGAAGAGGCAUUUAAUGAUCGCUUGCCCUUAUGUGUUCUUGCCAAUUCACUCCAGGUUGCUAUUGGUAGGAGGCUUGGUAUUGAAGAACCCCAGCUUAUGAAGAUCAUAAGGGCCACGCUGUAUACUCACAGUGAGUGGUUCAAACUUCAAAUGUGUAAAGAUCGAUUUGAGGGGCUCUUGAGGAUCGACGCCCUGAAGGAAGUUGGUGCCAAAUUGAUUAUAGAUGCUUCCAGAUUGGAUGUUGACAUGAGCACUGAUGGAUCAUCUCAAGUUACUGGUUCCUCAAAUAAUAGGAAACAGGAAGAUGGAAGUCCAACCCAGUCAUCAGCCAGAGAUGUUGGAUGUGAUGAAACUGCAAUACUAAAAGUUAUGGAAUUUCUAGCAUUGCCCAGAGCAGAUGCAAUUCACCUCCUUGCACAGUACGACGGGAAUGCAGAGACAGUCAUUCAGCAGAUAUUUGCAUAGCCCCUAAAUUAUAGCUGAACAGUAAUAUUCGUUUAUUUGUUACAUUAUUUUAUUGUACCAUAAAUUCUUACUUGUGAGGCUCAUUGGGAUGGAAUAACUCGUAAAAGAAAACAAAAAAAAAUAGGUGGGAAGGGAAUGUCUUUAUGUAUAGCCUGAAGUUUUUUGGGUGUCAAGUAUAGUUGAUGAGAGGGUUGAUUAUGUGAAGUGUUCUGUAAAUACCCUUCAGUUCCUUAGCCAUAUUUAUUUGGCGGAGCAUCG